rnacentral:rRNA from 1 species
GAUGAACGCUGGCGGCGUGCCUAAUACAUGCAAGUCGAGCGAACAGACGAGGAGCUUGCUCCUCUGACGUUAGCGGCGGACGGGUGAGUAACACGUGGAUAACCUACCUAUAAGACUGGGAUAACUUCGGGAAACCGGAGCUAAUACCGGAUAACAUGUUGAACCGCAUGGUUCAACAGUGAAAGACGGUCUUGCUGUCACUUAUAGAUGGAUCCGCGCCGCAUUAGCUAGUUGGUAAGGUAACGGCUUACCAAGGCAACGAUGCGUAGCCGACCUGAGAGGGUGAUCGGCCACACUGGAACUGAGACACGGUCCAGACUCCUACGGGAGGCAGCAGUAGGGAAUCUGCCGCAAUGGGCGAAAGCCUGACGGAGCAACGCCGCGUGAGUGAAGAAGGUCUUCGGAUCGUAAAACUCUGUUAUUAGGGAAGAACAAAUGUGUAAGUAACUAUGCACGUCUUGACGGUACCUAAUCAGAAAGCCACGGCUAACUACG